rnacentral:rRNA from 1 species
CCAAGGCUAAAUACUCCUGACUGACCGAUAGUGAACCAGUACCGUGAGGGAAAGGCGAAAAGAACCCCGGCGAGGGGAGUGAAAAAGAACCUGAAACCGUGUACGUACAAGCAGUGGGAGCACCCUUUGGGGUGUGACUGCGUACCUUUUGUAUAAUGGGUCAGCGACUUAUAUUCUGUAGCAAGGUUAACCGAAUAGGGGAGCCGGAGGGAAACCGAGUCUUAAUUGGGCGUUAAGUUGCAGGGUAUAGACCCG